UACACACCCUUUUAAUUUGCAGUUGUUUGAUAGACUGAAUUAAAGAAGAUCAAAGAGCAAAAAUUAACAAAGGAUGUGUGAGAAGUAAAAAAUGGUGUGUGAAUAGCACACCCCUUCUAUAAAUUAGCUAUAGUUAAUUAUAUGUGUGUAUUUCACAGGGGGAUCAUAUCUCAUAUAUAUAUAAAACCAUAUUUCAUAAAUAAAUUUCAUAUCUACUUGUAAAAAAAAAAAAAAAGGUUUUUGAACUUUAAUCCCUGAAAAAAAAACUAAUUAAAAC
rnacentral:lncRNA from 1 species